GAAGAGGGAAACAACCCAGACCGCCAGCUAAGGUCCCAAAGUCAUGGUUAAGUGGGAAACGAUGUGGGAAGGCCCAGACAGCCAGGAUGUUGGCUUAGAAGCAGCCAUCAUUUAAAGAAAGCGUAAUAGCUCACUGGUCGAGUCGGCCUGCGCGGAAGAUGUAACGGGGCUAAACCAUGCACCGAAGCUGCGGCAGCGACACUCAGGUGUUGUUGGGUAGGGGAGCGUUCUGUAAGCCUGUGAAGGUGGCCUGUGAGGGUUGCUGGAGGUAUCAGAAGUG
rnacentral:rRNA from 1 species